rnacentral:lncRNA from 1 species
ACUUACAUAGAUCCACAAGAAGACAGUGGUGCCCAAGGUGAACCCAACUUUCAGCCAGUCAGGUUUGGCAUUCGGCGGCUCUCGCACGUAGAACUUUGAUCGCACUGAAGCUGAAAGGGGAAGAGGGUCUGUAAAUUUGUAACUUACUGCCUUGUAGGGAAAAAACCCUAACAUUUACGUGCGUAUUAUCGCAUUUAAUU